AUUUCAAAUGCAGAAAAUGGCGGAUUAAACCUGGUUUUAUAGCGCCAACCCUCUCACCCUGACGACAGUCUCAUCAAUUUCCGUUAUAUUUACAUUGAUGCGUUAACCAAACAGACACAAUAAAUAAAAUAGUCAGUAUAUGGGUACAUCAGUCAACAUCGUAUAACAAUUUUAAAAGGAACAAUUUAACAGAACAAAAGAACAUCUAUCCAGUUGGAAAGCAGGUCACGGUUUGACCCCAAGUUUAUCAGCAACAAUAGAGUCACGUGACCGUGAAAAUUCAGUAAAAAAACGGAUGAGACAAACCUCAUUUUAACUCACUGAAUACUAUUGUCGUAAUAAAAACUUAUUGACCUAACUAAUCUUGAGUAUCCAUAGUUUAUUCUCGUCAAAGCUCACACAUCAAAUCAAAGUCCUUUAUUCUUUAUUUUAUCUGCAAACUUGGAGUUUGGGUGAAAAUUGUCAAGUCUCCUGAACGAAAAAUUUAAAUAUUUACGAGGAAACUAAAAAUGAUGGGCUGAAUUUAAAUUUAAUAAAGCAUCUCAUUAAGACAAACACUCGAUAUGAAUAUCUCGGCAAUCGAAUGUUGGAUACGCAAACGUCAAAUUGAUUUCAAACCGAAGCGGUGGUUUUUAUGCCGAUUUGUGCAAGUGGUUAUCUCCCCUUAAUAUCACCAGUCAAAAAUAAAUACCCAGCAAAAUGCAUAAAAAUUAAAAAAGGAGUUUACUUUACAAAAAUUAGAAAGAAAAUAAACGAAACUCGAUUUAUAACUAUGUUAUGAUAAUAUAAAGAAGAGAUACUUCCCCCUAUUUUUCAGAGAAGGACUAAUUAAAUGUAAAUAUUUAAAAAAGACAAAAUAUUACUACUGCAGUGAAAAAAAAAACAAUUCAGAAAUGUGGAUAAUGACA
rnacentral:lncRNA from 1 species